rnacentral:lncRNA from 1 species
GCGGCUAGUGGCGGAGCGCGCUGCGAGGGGAGGGCUUUCCACUGUCGCUGGCGUGAACUCGCGUGCCCGCAAGCUGGAUUUCGGGAAUGCUCAGUUCAGAAGAGAAAAAAUUGCCGGGAAUCAAGUCCUUCUUUUUGUUAGUCGGUAGUCGAUUGAUGGGAAGUGUUCAAAAUCAUUCGAUGUGGUGACAAGGCUUCACCAGGUACUGCCUUCUAACGAGCUGGCCAUUUCCACAUGUCAGAUAGGACCAACUUGCCUUUUAACUACCCGUGUGAUACUUAAACACUGUUGCCGGUAUCACAGCUUUUCUUCAAAACAGGAAGCAACGAGAAUGAGGGCAUUCCAGUAGCAGGAGACAGCAUGCAUAGAGAUGCUGAUGAAGAAAGAGCCUAGCGCACGUGGGAAACUGCAAAAGUUCAGACUGGUUGGAAUGCUGGAAAUGUUGUGAAUGACAGGAGAUGAGGCUGGCGAGAAAACAGAGGUCAGAUUGUGGAAGGCUGUCAAGCCAAAGACUUUGAUUUUAUUCUUGAGAUUGAUGAGAUGUGUGUAAUCCAGGAGUGUGCAAAACAAUCUGUAAGGGUUCAGAAAACAUACUGCUUCUAUAUAUAGUUACCUUUGUCUUAACUUGAAAAUUUCAAAUUGUGUAGGAGUUACAAUGUGUGUAAUUGUUAUUAUAGUACUGGAUCCAAAUAAUUUAUAAAUAAAUAAAUA